rnacentral:lncRNA from 1 species
GCCUCUGGCUACCCGCCAUCCCCUGUGCCAGGAGGGAACCUUGUGUUAGCCAGGAGCAUGUGAGCCAACAAGAAUGGGAAGGAGAGGGAAUGGACUCCACACUGCACCCAGCUGUCAUGUAAGUGUGGAAGUUUGCCUCUUCCAGCAGAUGAUCUAAGCAGCUUGUGGACACAUAUUUUGAUAGAUUAUGAAGUUCGAUGCAUUUUAUUAGAAAUUAAAACGACAAUAUGAAUAAUCUCAACAGGAGUGAAAUCUCAACACCUCUAAGAGAUCAGCCAAGGUUUUCUGCUUCAAGCCUUUAAAUGUCAUGAAGAAGCAGCAAGAUGGCAUCGCUGCCUCCAACAAGUCCUCCUCCCAAAUCCUCAGAGAGAUGAAAAAGUGCUGCCUGUUGCCCAGGAGCAGACAGAGCAAGGAGACUUUUCAUACUAAAAAUUGAUGCAAAACAGCGAGCCACAGUGUCACAAAACAGAUUUGACAGCUCAAGGUUUUAAUUACUGUUUACAGCUAGAGAGCGGACAAAGCAAGCUCCAGGUCUCAACUGCUUUUUGUAUCCUGGGAAAUGAGAGCAAUUCUUUCUAUCAUAUUCAGAAAGAAAAUGAAAAGGAGGAAGAAGCCCUCUCCUGCCCUACGUCCCCCAUGGCUCAGCACUGCCCACCCAAGGCUGGAAGAAGUUGGUCAUACGGAGUUCCCUUGGCGCCUUCUGCCCUCUUAAGGUCUUCAAUGCCUGCUAAGAUACUCAGCAAUGGAAAUGAUGCUGAUGCUCCUCUCCUGCCAAAAGAUAAUCCCCUCCACGUUCACAUUUAGAGUACACUGAGGCAGCUCUGGUGCUCCUCUAAGCACACCAACAUUUUUUUCAUGGCACAGAAUAAAUGCCUUCUCAAAACCACAGGUUUGCCAGCAGAACUACGGUAACGCCUGCUUAGAAAAUAGUUGAGAAUGUAAUUAUAAGUAUAUACAUUCAAAAGACCCACAGGUGACCAGAUCGAGUCUGAUAAAAGAUGCCUUUUAUUGUCUUGACCAUAUAUUUAUAUAUAAAAGUGUAGUCCUGACCAAUGCAGGUCAGUGCCACAUAAACAUUCCACAUGCCAACGUACGCACUGAAGUCAUUGUUCACAGCAAUAACCUCUCCUUUUAAUAAACCAUCUCCUUUACGCAGAAAUGCCUAAAGGUUUUCUAAUGUAUAUCAGUCUUUUGAACAUCACAUAAUCAAUUUAACACGAGAAAGGGAAAAGAAAUGUACCUGCACGGAUCCCCGCAUAUUCAGAUAAACCUUGCUGCUAUGAGGUUAGCAUAAAACCACACCAAAACCAGAUGAGGACAAACAGUUGCGGUGAAAGCCUGAUUUCUGACCAUGUAUUUACUGCAUUCUGAAUUCUAUUCACCUUUUGUGUGUGUGUGUGUGUGUGUGUGUGUGUGUGUGUGAAAUUGUUUCAGUUAUACAGAUUAUCUUGGAGUUUUCACAAUGAAGCUAAUGGGUUUCUAAGACUUUCAUAGCAUGCGUGAGCUGUAAGACAAGGAAUAGUAUAACAUUCCUUCACUGGCAGUGAUUUAAUAAUCUCAACAGUAAAAUAAAGGCCAAAAAAAAAAAAAAGAAAAAAAAAGAAAGAGAUCAAGCUGGUGUUCUUUCCUAUCUGAUCUCUUAGAAAGUAGGUCUUCAAAGAACAACCACUGUGCUGCAGAAAUUGACACUGGCAAUUAAAUGAUAUUCCCUCUCUGAAUGGAAGUACACGGUGCUAUCACCAGUGCUGUUUGUCUAAUGACAUGGAAAAUUAAGGUUUUUAACCACUUACUAUCAUUUAGUGGAGGCCUUUUCAAAAUCAAGGUGGCAUGGAUCUAGCUACAGAAAUGGGAAAGAAUGCUGAAGAAUGUCGGGGCAGACAAGACCAACACUAUUUCUACUGUG